AUAGCUGAUUGCACCAACAAAUGGUUGAUGCAAUAUUGACUCUGUCAAAUAAAAUUCUAGGUAGAAUUAUGAUAAUGACAUUGUCUGCCUAUAUGUCUUGACCAAAUUACGUGCCAGCAGUCGCGGUAAUACGUAGAAGACUAGUGUUAUUCAUCUUUAAUAGGUUUAAAGGGUACCUAGACGGUAAAUCAAGCCUUCAUAGGGACUAAUUUACUAGAGUUACUUACGAGGGGGUAUUAAAGUACUGCAGGUGUAGAGAUGAAAUUCUGUCAUACCUCUUUUCAAAAGAAAAAUUAUGGCACAGGUAUAGGUGAAAGCAUCCCCUUAUGUGAUAACUGACGUUGAAGGACGAAGGCUUUGUGUCGCGAACAGGAUUAGAUACCCCAGUAGUCAAAGCAGAAAAUGAUGAAUGUCAUAGAUUAGAUAUAUAAUUUAUUCUAUAAAUGAAAAUGUAAGCAUUCCACCUCAAGAGUAAUUUGGCAACAUUGGAACUGAAAUCAUUAGACCGUUUCUGAAACCAGUAGUGAAGUAUGUUGUUUAAUUUGAUGAUCCGCAAAAAACCUUACCACAAUUUGAAUAUUUAUAUCUAUCUUUUUUUUCGUAAACAAAUAAAAAGGUAAUAUAUUUACAAGCGUUGCACGGCUGUCUUCAGUUAAUGUCGCGAGACUUUGGUUAGUUCCAUUUAAUUAACGUAAACCCUUACUUUAUUUUUAUAUGAAGUAGUUCCCCACUAUAUUGGAUAUGAUAACAGGG
rnacentral:rRNA from 1 species